AGUGAACGCUGGCGGUAGGCCUAACACAUGCAAGUCGAACGGCAGCACAGUAAGAGCUUGCUCUUACGGGUGGCGAGUGGCGGACGGGUGAGGAAUACAUCGGAAUCUACUUUUUCGUGGGGGAUAACGUAGGCAAACUUACGCUAAUACCGCAUACGACCUACGGGUGAAAGCAGGGGAUCUUCGGACCUUGCGCGAUUGAAUGAGCCGAUGUCGGAUUAGCUAGUUGGCGGGGUAAAGGCCCACCAAGGCGACGAUCCGUAGCUGGUCUGAGAGGAUGAUCAGCCACACUGGAACUGAGACACGGUCCAGACUCCUACGGGAGGCAGCAGUGGGGAGUAUUGGACAAUGGGCGCAAGCCUGAUCCAGCCAUACCGCGUGGGUGAAGAAGGCCUUCGGGUUGUAAAGCCCUUUUGUUGGGAAAGAAAAGCAGCAGGUUAAUACCCCGCUGUUCUGACGGUACCCAAAGAAUAAGCUCCGGCUAACUUCGUG
rnacentral:rRNA from 1 species